rnacentral:misc_RNA from 1 species
GGACUCUCAGGGGGGGGGUAUCAAUUGUGAGAUUAUAUAGCAUUAGCAGAUUUUGCUUAUAUGAAGUUGGAAAUAUAGCAAUAUGAUUUUAUUGCUGAUGGGUAAUGGCAGCAGUCUGAUAUGGGGACUUCAACCUAGGAUGGGUAGUUUAUAAUGCCUGAAAUGUUGGCAUUCAGAGUGAUGAUUUGAAAUGAUAGUGCUAAAGGCACAGUGGUGAUUUAGCUCAGAUGGGUUACUGAGUGUAGAGUGGUUCAACUAAAAUGGUUUGCCUACUACAAUUAGGUCGGCAUCAGGAAUUAGUUUGCACCUCUCAAAUUACCGAAUAUAUAGUUGCUCCUAAAGUUUGUUGUGUGCUCAUACUGUAGUAUGUACCCUGAAAGGUGGAUAUGGAGAUGAAUGAUUCAGGCUUAUGGUAUCAUACUGGCGGAGUAAUAUCAUGGUGUAGGUUUUGGAUAUCUAAUAUUUGAAAUUCAAGCUUCUAAGAAGUUAGAGCCAUGUUUUAAACUGAUUGUGGGAAAGAUUUGCAAAUUUUAUAACUUGUUAAUUGUUUGAAUGUUAUUAUGUGGUGGUGA